rfam:Triticum aestivum genome assembly, contig: Triticum_aestivum_CS42_TGACv1_scaffold_049495_1BS
AUCAUACUCCCUCCGUUCGAAAAUAUUUGUCCCAAAAUUGAAUGUAUAUAGAUGUACUAUUUUAGUUUUAGAUACAUCCAUUUGUAUCUAUUUCUUUGACAAGUAUUUCGGGACAGAGGGAGUACAUG